rnacentral:rRNA from 1 species
UACGGGGGGGGCAAGCGUUGUUCGGAAUUACUGGGCGUAAAGGGCGCGUAGGCGGCCUUCUAAGUCGGACGUGAAAUCCCUCGGCUUAACCGAGGAACUGCGUCCGAUACUGGAAGGCUUGAAUCCGGGAGAGGGAUGUGGAAUUCCAGGUGUAGCGGUGAAAUGCGUAGAUAUCUGGAGGAACACCGGUGGCGAAGGCGGCAUCCUGGACCGGUAUUGACGCUGAGGCGCGAAAGCUAGGGGAGCAAACGGG